GCUUGAGACAUUAGAUAAUGUGUCAGUCAUAAGCAGCGAGUGACGAUGAACUCGAUGAAUAUUACUUCCAAAAGAAGUACAUUGAAGGUAAUUCUACAUUAUAAAUAAAUAAUAAAAUUGGAUCUUCUAAGUUUCUCCCUCUUCUUAACGAGGAGAUAGUAUUAUCUCUUCCGUAAGAAAUUAUGCUUUCUCUAUGUUAGGGAGAUACAAAAAGAUUCAAAAUUUCUCAUGUUUUAAGUUGUGUUUCAAUCUCCACCAUUAAAAGAUAAACAUUCAAUUUUAAUCAAUGGCAAAGAUUGAAAUAUGACAAACAACAUGAAAAGACAAUAGCAUGAGAAGAUCCGAAUAAAG